UACGUAGGUGGCAAGCGUUGUCCGGACUUAUUGGGUUUAAAGGGUGCGUAGGCGGUUUUGUAAGUCAGUGGUGAAAUAUCCCGGCUUAACCGGGAGGGUGGCAUUGAUACUGCAGGGCUUGAGUGAAGUCGAGGUAGGCGGAAUUGACGGUGUAGCGGUGAAAUGCUUAGAUAUCGUCAAGAACACCGAUAGUGAGGACAGCUUACUAGGCUUAUACUGACGCUGAGGCACGAAAGUGUGGGGAUCAAACAGG
rnacentral:rRNA from 1 species